rnacentral:rRNA from 1 species
GACGAACGCUGGCGGCGUGCUUAACACAUGCAAGUCGAACGGAAAGGCCCUGCUUUUGUGCGGUGCUCGAGUGGCGAACGGGUGAGUAACACGUGAGUAACCUGCCCUUGACUUUGGGAUAACUUCAGGAAACUGGGGCUAAUACCGGAUAGGAGCUCCUGCUGCAUGGUGGGGGUUGGAAAGUUUCGGCGGUUGGGGAUGGACUGGCGGCUUAUCGGCUUGUUGGUGGGGUAGUGGCUUACCAAGGCAUUGACGGAUAGGCGGCCUGAGAGGGUGACCGGCGACAAGGCGACUGAGAGAGGGCCCAGACUCCUAUGGGAGGCAGAAGUGGGGAAUAUGGCACAAUGGGCGGACGCCUGAUGCAGAGGCGCCGCGUGCGGGAUGACGGCCUUUGGGGUGUAAACCGCUUUCGCCUGUGACGAAGCGGUAGUGACGGUAAUGGGUAAAGAAGCACCGGCUAACUACGUG